rnacentral:rRNA from 1 species
GACGAACGCUGGCGGCGUGCUUAACACAUGCAAGUCGAACGGUGAAGCGCCUUCCUUUUUGGUGGGUGUGGAUGAGUGGCGAACGGGUGAGUAACACGUGAGUAACCUGCCCCCUUCUUCUGGAUAACCGCAUGAAAGUGUGGCUAAUACGGGAUAUCCUGGGUCUGUCGCAUGAUGGGUCUGGGAAAGAUAUUGUUUCGGUGGGGGAUGGGCUCGCGGCCUAUCAGCUUGUUGGUGGGGGGAUGGCCUACCAAGGCGGUGACGGGUAGCCGGCCUGAGAGGGUGGACGGUCACACUGGGACUGAGACACGGCCCAGACUCCUACGGGAGGCAGCAGUGGGGAAUAUUGCACAAUGGGCGCAAGCCUGAUGCAGCGACGCCGCGUGAGGGAUGGAGGCCUUCGGGUUGUGAACCUCUUUCGCCAGUGAAGCAGGCCUGCCUCGUUUGUGGGUGGGUUGACGGUAGCUGGAUAAGAAGCGCCGGCUAACUACGUG